AGCUAACUACUCUCCCAUUGACAGUGCACGCUUUGUUUGUACCACAUUGUAAAUGCUUUUUCAAUAAAUGUAUUUGAUGUGUAGCUAACUACCUAAACAAGAAAUUAUUAAAGCAAUAAGAGGGUGUGGUAUAUGGCCAAUAUACCACAGCUAAGGGCUGUUCUUAGCCACAAUGCAAAGCGGAGUGCCUGGACACAGCCCUUAGCGGUGGUAAAUUGGCCAUAUAUCACAAACCCCAGAGGUGCCUUAUUGCUAUUAUAAACUGGUUACCAACGUAAUUAGAGCAGGAAAAAUACAUAUUUUCUCAUACCGAUGGUAUACGGUCUGAUAUACCACGGCUGUCAGCCAAUCAGCAUUCAGGGUUCAAACCACCCAGUUUAUAAUGAAGAGUUUGGUUUCUCCUCUACCACACACUGCAUGCCAUUUCCCAAUUACUAAAGAACGAGGAGAAAGCAGGCAGUUUGUUUACAUUCAAUUGACUUCAGUGCUCAAUCACUGUGGGUGGACGUGCAGUUUGUAAUGCCAUGCAAUAUAUAGCAAUACACUAGAUGGCGCCAUUCACUUUCUAUAAGAGGUUAAUUGGUAUAAACAGAAUAUUUGUGUUAUUCCUGCCUCCUUGGCGGGUAUUUAUACACAUUUCUGUAAUUCACCCUGCAUUUUCUGUCAGACUUAUAGGCUAUAGUUGGCUUUCUUUACCAUAUGACAGAGUUGUAUAAGCGUAAAGUUAUGCCGCUAUAUGUUUAAAGGCCCAGUGCAGUCAAAAUUGUGAUUUACAUGUGUUUUAUGUAUAUGCCCACAUCAUGAGGUUGGGAUAACACUAUGGAAUUGUUAAAAUUAUGAUAAUGCCCUUUGAGUGUAAGAGCUGUUUGAAAAGACUGCCUGAAAUUUAAGCCUGUUUUGGUGGGAUGGAGUUUUGGCCUGCCUGGUGACAUCAAUAAGAAAGAGUUUCAAACCUUUCCACCAAUAACAGCUAGUUUUCAGAUUUCCCCUCCCCACUCAGAUCACUCCCAGACAGACCUAUCAAAAUUCUUGCUUGUUCUUUGCUAAGAAGCUAUUUUUGUUCAUCUGUGACAAUUUUAAUUGAAAACUAUCACAAUAAGGUACUUAAUUGUUACCUAGAAAAUGUUUUGAUAUUGAUAAAAACUGCUGCAUUGGACCUUUAAUAACUAAAUUGUGUCUGUAGCCCCAAGGAAACAAAAUAGGCCUGCCUUGGACCAGCUUUUCAGUCAUAUACAAACACUUUGCAAGUACAUUCACUUGACUCUCUAAAGAGAAUGAAACAGGAAGGUCCAUCCUUGUGUCCUUGCCUAAGUUAUACUCAUUUAAAUUGGGGCUCCCUAGUAGCACAGCGGUCUAAGGCAUCACAUCUCAGUGCAGAGGCGUCACUACAGACCCUGGUUUGAUUCAAGACUGUAUCACAACCGGCUGUGAUUGGGAGUCUCAUAGGGCGGCGCACAAUUGGCCCAGUGUUGUUAGGGUUUGGCUCGGGUAGGCCGUCAUUGUAAAUAAGAAUUUGUUCUUAGCUGACUUGCUGUGUUAAAUAAAGAAACAAUUUUAAUAAAUUCCAGGUUUGAAUGAUUCAAGUGUUUUACUGUUGAUCAUGGUGUUCAAGGGGUACAAUGGCUGGAAUGCACUUGAGAUGGUCACCUAGCCUAACCACAGAUUUAUUAUUAUAAGAAUAUCUUUGAUAAAUGUCAGAAACAUUUAAGUGUAUUAAUGGCCAUCAUGACCCAUGACCUCUCUAAUCAGCCCAUCUCAAGGCUGGAGAAUGAGAACUAUCAAGGUGUUGUUCGGUAUUGGACGAUGAGGCACAAAAGGCCCUUGUACUUUAUUCAUACCAACUUUCCAAGUUUCUAUUGUCAUGUGCACAAGUACAGUGAAAUGCCUUUCUAUUCCAUUACCGCAGCACGCCACUGUCAGCUGUCCACUUCAGUUCCAAUCGAUGAAGCUCAAGGGUGCAACAGCAGGAAGAAGUAUCAGCCUCCAUCUCCUCACCUAAUUUAUUUUGGGAUUUCCACCAGAUACCUUUUGGUUACUGACCCAAUGCUUUUUACCACUAGGCCGCCUGCCAGCCCAGUGAAAAAGGUUGGAAUUCAGUUCAUAGAGAGCAUAGAGAGUUUAUUUCUGUUUACUUGAUGUAUGGCUUCUGUAUUGGUGAUCCAGAAACGCACUACACCAAUACAUUUGGUUCCAAGAUGGCAUAGCAGUUGGACGUGUGUUUUGUCUUGUCCUGUCCUGUCCUAUGUAAAUAUUGUUUUUUCGUAUAUAUAUUUCGCAUAUAUUUUAAUCUCACUUUCCAUCUACGGACUGAAUAUACUCUCCUACAACCCACCUCACCCAAUGUGGUACGGAUCUGCUAUUUUUAUACUUUAGAACUGGAACCCCCAUCAGAAGCCACUGCUAUCUGUCUUCACCGUUAACUCGUAUACCAGCAAGCCUCAGCUCGGUAAAUACCUACCAGUCUGCACAGCGCGAUAUCAACCCAGAGCAUAUGAGACUGCUUUUUCUCUACCACAUCUCCGGAUUCCUACCGCAAGCUCUGGACCUUUACACCGGAUCAUCGCAGCUACAGUGGUUCCUCCUUUAAAAGUUGCGUCAUACUGCGGCACACCUUGCAUGCUGCUGCAGCAUUCUGUGGCACGUCACUUAAUUCUCAGCCAUUUCUUCUGUUACUGCAAGUUAUUGCUAGUUUGACCACCAGGGGGCAUCUUUGAGAAGCAUUUGAUAGAAUUCUGUAUUGGCAUUACCAGAGAAUUUAAAACCUUUUUUGUAAUAACAUAGUAUAUGGGAUUGAUUUUAAGGAAUUUGGCUUAAUGAAUUUGAUUAAUAUUAUGGUGUUUCCAUUCAGAGAAAAAAUGGUCAGUUUGUAAAUUCAGACCGUUUCGCUCUCGGAGCGCACGCUGGACGUUCGGGCCGAGGAGUAGGGUUUAUUUGAGCGUUCUGGCCAUACAACGGCAGUCAAGCACCCAAGCUAACGUUGGCUAGCUACUUCCAGACACAAAUGAGACCACUCUGACCAUUUUACUCGCCCUAGUAGAGCUGGUAAGGCAGUUUUCGUGUUAACCAGAGCGUUGGUGACUGUAAAUGUGCUGCUGGAAACAAUUUAAUUGCGCCUUUUUCCCGACGUUUACUGACUCCGGCCAUAUCAUCGCCAGCAGCAUACCACCCUGCAUACCACUACUGGCUUGCUUCUGAAGCUAAGCAGGGUUGGUCCUGGUCAGGCCCUGGAUGGGAGACCAGAUGCUGCUGGAAGUGGUGUUGGAGGGCCAGUAGGAGGCACUCUUUCCUCUGGUCUAAAAAAUAUCCCAAAGCCCCAGGGCAGUGAUUGGGGACACUGCCCUGUGUAGGGUGCCGUCUUUCGGAUGGGACGUUAAACGGGUGUCCUGACUCUCUGAGGUCAUUAAAGAUCCCAUGGCACUUAUCGUAAGAGUAGGGGUGUUAACCCCGGUGUCCUGGCUAAAAUUCCCAAUCUGGCUCUCAAACCAUCAUGGUCACCUAAUAAUCCCCAGUUUACAAUUGGCUCAUUCAUCCCCCUCCUCUCCCCUGUAACUAUUCCCCAGGUCGUUGCUGCAAAUGAGAACGUGUUCUCAGUCAACUUACCUGGUAAAAUAACGGUAAAUAAAUAAAUAUCCAAUGGGUGUUGAGCGCUUGUAAAGUAAUUAUUCUGUUCUCUGGUACACUCAGACGAGAGUGCUCUGAAAUCCGUAUAGAUAGUAGGCUGGACACAUUACAUUUUUAACAACGUUCUUUUCUGAUAAAAACUAGUUCUUUGCAUCCGCCGUGGAGCCCAGUUUCAUAAUAUGACCAUAUUUCCCAGCUGCUUGCCGUCGUUUUGAAGUAAUGGCGGAAAAACAGGCCUUAUUUUAGUGCAUUUUUCACCCUGCCAGCUCCUAUUAGUUCUAUUGAGCACCGUGGCACCAACUCGCCUUCCGAACGUUCUAUUCUCAGCUUAUUGUUCAACGUCACAAUGCCUGCUUUGCUAUUGUUGGCAAUGAGACAUGCUCACGUUGUUUCAUUGUUAAAAUGUAAACAAACAAAAAUAAUAUUGGAACUCUGCGGCCUUCCCAUUGUUUCCUAUGGAGGAAAUAUAGGCAUGUCUGUCUAUUUCGUCAAAUAUCUCGCAAUGUGUAUAUUUCGAUUUUCGGGUGUAACCGGUGUGAAAUGGCUAGCUAGUUAGCGACACAAAGGAAGUCAAAGCGGACACCUACGAAGAUGGCAUCUCCGGUAAGCAGCACUGGGCUGUAUUGACGUAUCCUAAAAAUCUGCUGCUUUAGAUUGAACGGUCAUAUCUCAGUUAUUGUUUUCAUAUCUAUAAAAAAUAAGCUGUUUUCUUUACUCUCAGAGAGCGAGCUGAUCAAUGGGUCGAAAAUAUAGAUAUUGCCAGAUGUUCACUGUCCGAGGAACAGGCCGUGGAAGCUUUAUUGCUGGCAAAAGUGUCCAUAACCAGAGGUUAUAGCUGUUUUGGUGAACCCCUUCUGCAUGUGAACUGGCUGACACAGAGGGCACAGCAUGAUCAUAGGUAUGUUUUGAUGUGAGAGAGGAAGCCUGUCCCGUCGCCACCUCACCCGCUCUUAAGAUAACCUUCGGGCCAACUGGGGGCCCAAGGCUGGUUAGGAGACACCGCAAUUGUGAUGAACUGAGAGAAUAUUAGGGUAGCACUGUAAUUCAUGAAUCAAAUGCGGUCUUCCACUGUUCUUACCUCUUUCCCUUUCUGUCUUCUACACCUCUCUCCCCACCUUUCUUCCUCGUUUUAUAAUGCACACCAUAUGUGCAUUGAAGUACAGAUUGAACUUGUAUUUAUAAUAUUACAAUUAUCAUAAUUAUAAUUCAUUUAUGUAUUUAUAACACCUGGAUAAUGAACUUCUUUCAAUAAAGCAUUUCACAUUCUCCA